UCUAAAACAUGCGGGACAGUGUGCCCCAAGGACCAAUGUUGAAAAACACAGUCUAAGAGAUUCUGGUUGGGGGCUGGCAAAAACAGAUGAGCGGAGCUGCAUGGGAAAACCGUUGACCAGGUGAAAAUUUCCAGGAUGAAGAUCUGUCAGAGGAGGUUGAUCCUCAGGUGGAAGGCAGUUGUCCAGCAGCUCCUGUUUAACUGCAGAAGCUGUUUCUGGAAAGUUCAUUUUCUCGGCUUGUUCUCUUCAUAGAAGCUCCAUGUCCCCAGGUUCCAAGAAACAAGGAAAUCUGGAGGAUUUUUUCUUUGACCGACAAUGUGGGCAUGCCUAUGUGACUCUCUCCCUCAGAUGACAUCAGUGUUUACUCCAUGUUUACUCCACUCCUGCCUGAGAGAUAUCACACCAGGCUACCACGUGAACACAUGCCUGAUGAGUGGAUUCCACAGCCACACAGCCAGGACUUCCUUUAAGGCUAAUCUAUUUGGCCUUGGAAAACAGUGACUACGUCAUGAGUAAUUUGGCCCCUUGUGUGAAGUAUGGCAAGAGGUUCUGGCUUUCUUCUUUAAAUUCCACUCCCAGACCUUUCUCUGCAGCAAAUCUUCUGACUUCGCUUUUACAAAAUUUCUAGAGUUUCUACCUUGAAAGUGCUGACAUUUUGGGAACUUGAGUCAUGUUGUCCCCUCUCCAGAUUUAGGAUGUAGCUUUGCCUCAGUGAAUGCUUUAUACUGCAGCAAGAUGAGAAACAUGAUAGGAUGUGAGGUGAUUAACGGCUGCUGCACAUUAUGGAGGCCUGUAAUGCCUGAGCCCUGUGUCAAGCAGAUUCAGGGGCUAUUGGGAGGUAAUUACAUGUCAGCCUUACAAACAUUGUGCUUCCUAGGGAUGUUGUCAAACCUUAUUUAGUUUUCCCUUUUAAACUAUCUUAACCCCUGGCUGUAUCCCAAUGGGUGGGGGGUGAGGGCGGAUAUAUGUGGUGGCUGCCAAUGUUCAAUCAUUGAACCUUUUCUUUCCAUACCCUAAAGAUUUUGAUGUGAAUUUUGAAUUUCAGACACCUCUCCUUUCAUGUUAAAUGCCAGUACCAACAAAUAAAUUCCUUUCUGACAUUAUACAGAUGUAACUGAAUCAAAUUGAUUUGUUUUUAGAAAGAAAAAGGCCCAGAAUUCCCUCAUCUCUGUUUCUUUAUCCACAUUUGUCAUUCUCAAUCUAGAGAUACACUGACCAGAGGUUGUGUACAGCUCUGACCUCUCAGUACCAGUUUCAUUCAAUUCAGAUUUUUUUUAAAGAAUUUUGAAUGAAAAUAAAACAAAUUUUUUUU